rnacentral:lncRNA from 1 species
AGCUCUGCCAAAACCAUCAGUGAAACAAACUAACUUCAUAGAGCCGGUUAUUUUAGAUUUCAUUGAAAUUAAGGACAGAAGAGACAAGUUAAAACUGUUUCAUCUGGACUUCCUGUUUAUCCCUCAAAUUUAAAUAUCUAUAUCUCCCAUCCAAGUAUCUAUUCCCGUAAGGACUUUUACAUGCAAUAUUUAAAUCCCAACUCAGUCUCUGUAGGGUCUCACUUCUAACAGGUACUGAGGGGCUCAAAACAGGACACUGUAUGCCAGGUACAGGACUUUGCUUUUCUCCUUAUUGAACUUCAUGAAAUAUCUUUUGUCCUGGACCUCAAAUUUAUCAAGUUCCCACCGCAGUGAAUCUCCGCUAUUCAGUUCGUCUGAGUGGCAGAAGUUUCCCCUGGGUUAUUACAGUCCUCAAAUUCACUAAAGUGAAUAAGAGGGUAGAUUUGCAGAAAGGGAUGAAAGAAAGAUUCUACAAAGGAACUUCCCACUCUACUCUGCACUGGUGUGGCUUCACUUCAAGUACUGCGUGCAGUUUGGACACUGGAAUAUCAGAAGAGCUAAAACUACUGGAGAGCAUCCCAAGGACCUGAGGGAACAGCAUGGAGGUGUGUCAGAUGAUAAAGAUUUUUUUUCAUGAAGAUGUCCAACUGUGUACCUGCCAUGCAUGAAGGAAACAAAAUGACAUGGACAAAUGAAAUAGGACCAGGAGACUGAGUGCAAGCAGGUGGCGAGAGAGGAGACAGUGUUCACCUCAAAGGGGAAGAUAAACUCCUUAUUCAAAGGACAAAGUGAAGACUAAACAGGAAAAAGAAAACAACAACAACAACAAAAACCCACUUUGAUAAGCUUCUCUGUACUAAAGAGUCAGGUAGAGGCAUCUGAGAAAGAAUGAGAUCAAGAGAGGGAAGAAUUCUCAUUCUGUCUAACUUCAAGCAUCCAGCUCAAGCUUCUUAUAUGCAAAUGUUACAGAUAGGCGCCUGAAGAAG